CCGCGGACUGCUGACGGCCCGGCGGGUAUUUCUCGAUCUGGGCUUUCGCCCACGCCAGAUUCUCCGCGCUGAACGCGAAGCUUGCGGGCUGUACCUCUUUCGGAGCCAAACGGCGGACGGCCAUCGUUUAAGUCUUUCGAUCUNNNNNNNNCAAUUCUAUUGCGUCAAGUCUUACUGCGUCAUGGCGCGGCGCGCGUUACCUGAAUUCAUGCUGUAGAUACGCUGUUCCCAGAACACGCUCGACGUCGCGAACNNNNNNNNGACCUUGAUGCGGUCGAGUGUGGAGAGCUGGGUCAGUUCCUCGAACCGAUCCGUCGCCGGA
rnacentral:misc_RNA from 1 species